CCUACGGGGGGCUGCAGUGGGGAAUAUUGGACAAUGGGGGCAACCCUGAUCCAGCCAUGCCGCGUGUAUGAAGAAGGCCCUCGGGUUGUAAAGCACUUUCAGUGAGGAAGAACGCCUGGUGGUUAAUACCCAUCAGGAAAGACAUCACUCACAGAAGAAGCACCGGCUAACUCCGUGCCAGCAGCCGCGGUAAUACGGAGGGUGCGAGCGUUAAUCGGAAUUACUGGGCGUAAAGCGCGCGUAGGUGGCUUGAUAAGCCGGUUGUGAAAGCCCCGGGCUCAACCUGGGAACGGCAUCCGGAACUGUCAAGCUAGAGUGCAGGAGAGGAAGGUAGAAUUCCCGGUGUAGCGGUGAAAUGCGUAGAGAUCGGGAGGAAUACCAGUGGCGAAGGCGGCCUUCUGGACUGACACUGACACUGAGGUGCGAAAGCGUGGGUAGCAAACAGGAUUAGAUACCCUAGUAGUC
rnacentral:rRNA from 1 species